GGGGGAGUGGCGGAAUCGGCAGACGCAUCGGACUUAAAAUCCGAAGGCUCACAAGGCCAUGUGGGUUCGAGCCCCACCUCCCCCACCA
rnacentral:tRNA from 1 species